rnacentral:tRNA from 1 species
AAGGCUUUAGCUUAAUUAAAGUAUCUGAUUUGCAUUCAGAAGAUGUGGUAUAGAAUCCCGCAAGUCUUA